rnacentral:rRNA from 1 species
GGAUUAGAUACCCUGGUAGUCCACGCUGUAAACGAUGAUUGCUGGUUGUCGGAGGUAUCGACCCCCCCGGUAACGAAGCUAACGCGUUAAGCAAUCCGCCUGGGGAGUACGGCCGCAAGGUUAAAACUCAAAGGAAUUGACGGGGGCCCGCACAAGCGGUGGAGCAUGUGGUUUAAUUCGAUGCAACGCGAAGAACCUUACCUGCUUUUGACAUCCUGCGGACCUAUCAGAGAUGAUAGGGUGCCCUUCGGGGAACGCAGAGACAGGUGCUGCAUGGCUGUCGUCAGCUCGUGCUG